rnacentral:rRNA from 1 species
CUUUUUCCGCCGGAGCUUGCUCCACCGGAAAAAGGCCGGGUGGCGAACGGGUGAGUAACACGUGGGUAACCUGCCCAUCAGAAGGGGAUAACACUUGGAAACAGGUGCUAAUACCGUAUAACAAUCGAAACCGCAUGGUUUUGAUUUGAAAGGCGCUUUCGGGUGUCGCUGAUGGAUGGACCCGCGGUGCAUUAGCUAGUUGGUGAGGUAACGGCUCACCAAGGCCACGAUGCAUAGCCGACCUGAGAGGGUGAUCGGCCACAUUGGGACUGAGACACGGCCCAAACUCCUACGGGAGGCAGCAGUAGGGAAUCUUCGGCAAUGGACGAAAGUCUGACCGAGCAACGCCGCGUGAGUGAAGAAGGUUUUCGGAUCGUAAAACUCUGUUGUUAGAGAAGAACAAGGAUGAGAGUAACUGUUCAUCCCUUGACGGUAUCUAACCAGAAAGCCACGGCUAACUACGUGCCAGCAGCCGCGGUAAUACGUAGGUGGCAAGCGUUGUCCGGAUUUAUUGGGCGUAAAGCGAGCGCAGGCGGUUUCUUAAGUCUGAUGUGAAAGCCCCCGGCUCAACCGGGGAGGGUCAUUGGAAACUGGGAGACUUGAGUGCAGAAGAGGAGAGUGGAAUUCCAUGUGUAGCGGUGAAAUGCGUAGAUAUAUGGAGGAACACCAGUGGCGAAGGCGGCUCUCUGGUCUGUAACUGACGCUGAGGCUCGAAAGCGUGGGGAGCAAACAGGAUUAGAUACCCUGGUA